rfam:Megasphaera cerevisiae DSM 20462 scaffold_151, whole genome shotgun sequence.
AACCCCUGGUUAGACCAGGGGUUCCAAAAAGCUUUAGCGAUGAGUCUUUGAAGGUUUAAAACAAAACACCUUUGAUGGUAAGAUAAGAAUGCGGUCCGUCAACUGCAAACCUAUCCACAUCAAAGG